GGCUGUUAGCCACUGGUGUAAGUAGUGGGUGUUGGCUGUUAGCCACUGGUGUAGCCACAAGUUGUUAGCUGCUGAAGCUGGAAGCUGAAGAGAAGCUACAGAAAGAGCCAAGAAUGAGUGUUCCUCUCACUGCACCAGUCAAGGGCAUCGUGGAACUUUGCACCUGUUGCCAGAGUGAAAAUUGGAGAGGAUUCAAAAUGAAGGAAGCUUCUCUCGUGUCCCCACAUGGAGCAGAAGCUGAUAGAGGGAGCUCAUUCACACUCUCUCCAGGUUGGAUUCGAACCGGCAACCUUCAGGUCAGCAACAAACCUUCAAGUCAGCAGUCCUGCCAGCACAAGGGUUUAACCCAAUGUGCCACUGGGGGCUCCACCAGAAAAGACACAUUCAAUUAUUUUGGACAAAUGAACCAAUGGAGAGAUUGUCUGAAACAACCCUACAUUUCAGAGGCAAGAACACGAUCUUUGAAGAGGCUUUCAGUGGACUCUGCUCUCUUCCAACACUAUAUGAAAAGGCCUGGGGAAUGAAAGGCUGUAAUGGAAUGGACUACAUUUCCACUAUGUCAAAUCAGUAUUCCAGAGGUUUCUGACAUAAAAUGUAACUAUAAUUUGCUACACUGCUCAUGUGGCUUGCCCUUAGGGGAAAUCUUCAGUUAUCUGUUUUGUCCUGAGGCAGGUAAUAAAGCUCAUCAAAGGACUACUGACAGAUGUCUCCUUCCUUCUAUGCCAAAGCGACAGACU
rnacentral:lncRNA from 11 species